CCCGAGUUCAAUCCCCAGUACCCGCCCCCCAAAAAAAUAGAGUAGAGAAUAAAAUAAUACCACUAACACUAUCGUUGGCAUAGCACAGCUUGUGACCACCAAGCAACAUUACUUGAUUUCCUGUCAUCCACCCCCAACCAGUAUAUAUAACAGUUUCCAGUUCUUGUCGGGUGGUCAUCCUCUUCUGGACCAGUGCCUUGGCAGCCUGGUAUUGAUCCCAGAUGGAGUCCAUCUGGUUUUGUCACUACCAGUCCAAUUGAGCAGGGACACUGGUGGACGUCAACUACAUUGGUCCAGAGUUCAGUGCACACGCAACAAUGCAAUUAUUGGUGUACAUGGGCAAAUGUGUGCCCAACAGAUGAUGCUGUUAGCAUGACUUAUUCUGAUCAGGAGGACAGGGCAGAAAGAGAAACCAUUAUAGGGAUCCUGUCUUUUUAGGAGGAUGCAGGACAUAUGCUUAUCCUAUGAUAGGAUUGGGGCUGGGAUCGUCUUACCCUCUGGCCUAGAAUACCACACCUGGGUUCCUGUUGCCACACAGUAAAGUAGUUGGAGCUAGACCCCCAACCCAAGGAAUGGGGCAAGCAGCCACAAUGUCACUUCCUUUUAUUAUAUAAGGACCUUGUUCUGUGGGUCAAAAAUGCAGACAGGCUGACUGUGCUUUUAAGAAGCAAUGCAGUGGGCUGUCACCCACACAUUGGGUCUGGUGCCCUAUCUGUCACUCUUGGGCCUCCAAGCUAGUAACCAGAGCACCAGCACUCAUACAGCCCAAUUGCCUGUGUACACAUGCAGAGAUUCAUCCUCAUGCAUUAAAAAUAGCCUCACUGCCCAGAACUCUGCCCCUUGGCUCGACCUACUUCUGGUUUUAAACCAAAGGACUUCCUUAUUGGGCUAGACAGCUCAUUCAUUGUGGGGCUGUGUCAUGGCCAGAACCAUCAGUAUACCAGGCCUCAGCUGUCAGGCCCCUUUUUGCAUAGGGGCUGUCAUGACCUGUAGUCAGUCAUUCUGUACAGUCUCCUGUCAUGUAUAUCAUGGGUCCCCAAACUGUUGCUAACUCAGAUGCCAAUGGGCUUACCAAGAGGAGGAACUUCUGUUGUGAGUACAUUCCCCAUCAUGACAUGGUGGUGGUCUGGGAUACUCCACUCCUGGGAUGAGAUGUCCAUGUGCAGACCCAGCCCUCCAUUGGGCAUCUAGUCUGCUCUUCCAAGGUCUGCUGCCCUGUGAUUUCUGCACAGGCUUGCAGAAGAGCAUACACCAUUGCUGUUUCUCUAUCAGGGAACACCAACUUUUGGCUCCUUUCCACAACUGUGACCAAAAGCCAAUAGGGUGCUUCUACUUCGCUUGCUUUUGCCAUCGAGUCCAGCCAAACCCAACAUCAUCUACACUAACAGUUAGGGUAAAAGGUAGGGUAGGGUCAACAACUCAGAGGACUUGGAUUGCAUGACUUCUCUCUUGGAGUGCUGAAAAGCAGCUUUUGCUGUACAGCUUCUGCUGUGCCUAUCCAGUUCCUUCCAGGUCCUCAGGAAUUAAUUUUGUCUUACCUGAUCAGAUAACACCUAAGAUUUUGACAAACAAGCCAGUUCCUUGGACCUUAUCUUUGUUAGUGACCUACCCCCAGGCUAGCAAAGCUUCCUCCAGACUGUGCAACAGCCUCCAAAUAUGUAAUGCAAUCAGAGGUUAACAUAGUAUCAUCAAUAUAAUGGAAAGGGGACAUAGACUGUGGCUUGGUCCAGGUGGCUAAGUCCUGGGUCACCAGGCCAUGACAGAGUUGGGCUAUGUAAAUAACCUUAUGGCAAUACCUGGAAGAUCCAUUGCCUGCAUUCCCAGGUGAACACAAGUUGGUGCUGAUUGUCAGAUAUGAUAGCAAUGGAGAAAAAGGCAUUAGCCAAAUCCACAACAUAAUGGUAUCUACCCAGCCAUCGGGGUGAGAUUAUACAUCAAGUCUGAAAUAUUAGGUACUGCUGUGUGCAACAGGGGGGUCAUUUUAUUCAAUUCCUGUUAUCCACAGUCAUCCACCACUUUUCAUCUGCCUUCUGCAUAGGCCACACUGGGGAACUGAAAGGACUAUGAACAGCAUAUAUCACUCCAGCUUCAAAAUUGUCUGUCCUGUCUCCUUCUGGCCUUCAGGCAGCCGAUACUGCUUUAAGCACACAACCGAAAUAGUCUGCAUAUCCUGCAGGAGAGUCAGCAGUGGGUGAUGAAGAUGUCCUCAGACGAUGGUUUUUACCACACGGAUUCACAAGUGGAAUCCUCCCUGCAUUGUGUCAAGCUGAGCACCAGGUGCUGGAGUAUUCCAUGAAAAGAGUAGAGAAAAAAGCUCUGAUGACAGGUCUGUGAAGAUCUGAAAGAAGGCAAAACAAGGCGUCGCCUAGCGAAGGGUCUCCUAAGUGAUUUCUGCGUCCUGAGGCUCAGGUAGUGGCAGCGCCUGGUCUCCAUGGCAACCAUGGGGCGGUUCUUCCAAGAACAACUGCAGCCCAGCUGCCAGGGUUGUAGAGAGUCUGAGGUGAUGAGAAUUUUUGGGUCCCGACUCAAGACAUAAAGCUGAAAAAUGAGCCAGAAAUGAAGAUGCUCUGGGAAUCACAAAAGACAUGGAACAGGGCUAGGGAUUUAGCUCAGCGGUUCGGUGGCCUGCCUUUCAAGCAAGCACGAGG